ensembl:lncRNA
UCUUUAGGAUGGCUUCCUGAGCCCUGAGAGCCACUGAGGAUCUCAUGGGACUUCCAGGGCAGAAGGUUAGGCUCUGAGACUGAACAUAGCAGGAUGGAAUUCCAACGCCUGGUGCAGCUCCUCUGUUCAGGCUGUUGUAACACUGCUGGACCAUGGGCAGCUGCUUUCUGUCCUGGCUGGCUCCCCGAGACAUUGUGAGGGCUUUUCAGAAUUCUCAUCUUGAAGGAAAUGUGUAUAUCUUUAGCCCUAAUUAAUAAACAUUGACCUUUUAUGAACUGGCAAAGACAUCACAUAUAUGAGCUCCCAGAAGAACUUCCUUUUGGCUUUGGACUCAUCAUGUGGGCGGUGCUGGCAAGCCAGCAGGGGAUUUUUGCCAUAAGGGUGGUCAGGUGCUGGCACAGCCUCGCCGAGAGGCUGCGGGGUGUCCAACCGUGGGGACACCCAUCUGGACAUGGCUCUGGCUGAGCCUGCUCUGGGGAGGAUGGAGUUAGGACACGUCUGUCUGGAUGUGCCUGCCAGCAGCAGUGAUUCUGGGGGUCAGCACUGACAGCAAAAAAGCUGACUUCUGCAGGAAGACUAAAAGCUUCUCUUUGACCAUCAAUUUUAGCUGCAUGCUCAUGGGCAGGAAGCACUGUCUUUUGGAUGAGUAGCUUUCCCCAGCUGACGAGAACACAGCCUGGAGCACAGCAAGAAAAGCAGCAUACUAAGCAAUGAGGGCUGCAGCAGAAAUAGGCUGCCAGUGGGACUGGCUGUGUUUUAUGGCCAUCCAGACCAUGUGGCUGCAGGGAAACCAUGAUAUCCAUCGUGCAACUUGGAGUGAAUCUAUCUGAAGAAUGACUUGCAAAAAGUCAGAAUUUGAGUGGAAAGUAAAGGGUAAAAAUGGCAGAAAUCCCAAAGCUCAUUCUCAGCACUUGCUGCUGGGAGUGGGUAGAAGUCUGUCCUCUGGGCACAUUAGAGAGUGAUUUCAGUUCCUGCAUUCUCUCCAGACAGCUGGUACUGGGCUUGUGACUUGAUGUGCCAGCACAUACUUUGUGCCCUUGUUUUCUGCCUCUCUUUUUCUUCCUCCUCUCCAGUGUGAAACCCAUCUCCAGCUUUCCUUGUCAUUGCAACGAAUGGAAGUCUGCGGCUGUGUGCAAAUACUGUCUCUGCAGCAGUACAAGGAGGGAUGCGAGGUGCCAGCACUCAUCCCACCACUGAGAGGAGGAUUCGGUUUCUGGCUGCUGUUGGUAAAAGACAGAUGUACAAUACACAAAGCAAGAGCUGACAUUCAGAAUGUGUGUCACCGUUUGCACUGGGCAGGUUGGUGUAACCGUUUGCAUGUCCGCCUUGCAGUGCAGUCCUGUUGGUGAGUGCAGGAAUCAUUUCCAGCUCUCAGCCCUGCCCUCUCAUCUCUCAUUCUCCUGUUUCCAGUUGCUGAACCCAUCCCCAGCCCGUGACUGUCAGCCUUGGUGCUUCCAUGUCUCUCCUGAAUCCACAGUGUGGAAAAACCAGGCCACAAACAUGUUGAGAAGACAGAUGGAUUUCAGCGAGGCUCAGGGGGCUGCAGAGAGGGUCUGGGUACAGGAAAUUGGCAAAGUAGAUGAGGAGAUGGGAGGAAUUUGUGAUGGUAAGGAAGCAGGAGUGGAGGAGGAAGGAUGGGGGAACAGGCUGGUGCAGCAACGGAGAGGUGCAGCUUAGUCUGAGAGCCAGGAAGGGAGGGCAGGAAAGCUCGCGUGGGCUUUGCUGUUGAGGCAAGGAUGAGGGAUGGGAUGGGCAUCUUAAUGCUUUGGGAAUGGAAAUGGAAGACUUCUUAAGUCUCAAAUGAUAUCCAGUGGGUGUUUCCUGAGCCAGGAGAUGUCCCACCUUGGCCACCACUAGGAAAAAGAGCAGACAGAGAUGGCAACUCUCUUCUUGUCAACAGCACAAAUUGUCAACAGCACAAAGGGAGUUUUUGAGGAAGAGAUAGCUAACCAGUGAGAAGCAUUGGCUAAAUGGUUACUUAAGAAGAUUCAUUUUUCAAAGCCUGUGGUACUCAUGCACUGGAACUAACAGUUUCCAGGUCCAAUCUCCUGCUGGCGGGAGGACGCUGAGAAGUGCAGCUGACAGAUGGGUGUGCUUGCAGCCAAUCUCCCUGCGGUGCCCUGGCAAUGUACGGUGCAGCGCAGUGGAAAAGCACCGUUCAUGGAACAGACUGGAAACGAGAGCACUGACAGUGAGCUGUACUUGGACCAGCUCAGCCAAGCUGUAUUUCUGCACUGCUUAUAAAACCAGAAUUCAAUUUAUACGUGGAGUUCCAGAGUAUCAUCAGGUCCAUGGGAUGCCAGUGGGCAUGUCCAUCUUGCCUGGUGCUGCUGCAGUGAAGGACUGCAAACCCACAUGUGCAUUCACGUCUGUAAUGGUUCAGAGACUCCAGAAGAUCAUAUUAAAUUAAAUUAAGGAGAGUAAAAUGUGUAUCAGGGGCAAUAUGAGGUGAUGCUUCAUUUCCAGUGUCCCAACUUGUUAAAAUAAAAAGCAUUCAUUCCAGUUGAAUAUUUAUCACUAAAUUUGAAGCAAAAGUAAAAAUGCCCUUUGGUUUCUCUGCAAGAAAAGUAAAGCCUCAUUGAAAUCUCACCACGGAGGAAUAUUUUUAACAUACAGAAAGUUUCCUGUUUUUAAAGGCAGUAAUGCAAAUUUGAAGUAAGACAAUGUAAAUUAUAGAGUGACUUCAAUGAGCUAUUUUGUGACCUUGCGAUCUUUAGAGCUAUUGAAGGGAGUCAACCGUGCUUCUGGUGGGUGGCUGCACAUGGAACCGAAGGGAAAUAUGUUGUGGGGGUGAGGGUGCCUGGCUGCUGUGAUGCAUAAGUGACGAUUUAGGGUUAGUGAGGAUGUCUGUGUUGCCUUAGUGAUGGCUUCCUGGGAUUUUUUUGGUGGCGUUCACAAGAACUCGAACUGGGGCUUUGUUUUGCAAAUCCAAUGGUGGGGCGUGGGCAAAUCACCCAUAUUUCCCUCUGCUGACUGACUGCCUCUGGUUGCUUCAUCUGAAUCCUGCUCAGUUUAGCUCAUAAAAACCUCUGUUUAUUGAAGUCUCCAGAACUGAGUACUGUAGCUUUUCUGGAUGGGAAUGGGAUGAGGCAAUACACAAACCCAAGAAUCCUUGUGUUUAUUUUGUAUUUAAGAACUCGUCCAAGCCAGCAGCCAGCAUCUGCCACUGCUUCUGUCUGCAUGAGCAGCGGUUACCUUCAGCAUGGACUCGUUGGCUCCUUCAGGCAGUAUGCUGGUAAUGGAAAGAAGCCUCAAACUGUUGUGUCCUGAGACAGCAGCCAUCCCUGCUGCCUUCUCCAAUGGGUCUGAUGCCAUGAGUGUGGGUGGCAGGCAGGUCCCCAGGAGCAGCCUCAGUGCCUGUGGAUCAUUGCAGCACAGCUUGCCUGGCCUGAAAGGCAUCCAUCCAGCUCUUCAGCUAUUAUUAACAAAGGAACAUUUUUCAAAAAGACUUACAGUGUUUGUUUUAAGCUUUCAAUUGACUGCUGUUUAUAUGAUUAUGUAUGAAUGAAGGAAGAAAAAGCUUAAAAAAUGCCCCAGGUUCACCCACCAUAGCAUGGAAAUACACCUCAACUGUUUACAAGUGCUCCUUGUUUUGUGUUCGGAGGCCGGAUCUCUGACUUCCUUUUGGACUAUUCUCCACUGGAAAUGAGGACUCUCUGCCAAAAUAGUCCACCUUUUCCUGCAAGAUUUGGUAUUAAUAGUUCUGACAGAACAUCUUGUUCCUAU